UCUAAUAUGGCAGACUAGUGCAAUGAACUUAAGAUUCAUUUAUAAAAUUAUUUUUGUUAGAA
rnacentral:tRNA from 1 species